ACAAGUGCUUGCCUGAGGGUGUGGUUGCAAAUGGUGUGCUUAGAGAGUGAAGUAGCAAGAGGGAUGUGGGCUGAGAAGGAGGUAUGGGAAAUUGGAGAGAAAGCAUCUUCGUACAUCCUUGGAGAGGAACUGAUGGAAAGGAGGAAAGCGCUGAAGAGAUGGAGAAAGUAGGGGAAGAAGCUCUACAGAAAGGAAGAUAAAGUAGAACACAGACAGAAACACUCAGCUGUAAUGUAAAAUACAACUUGCAAAUAAACAUGUCAUGGUUUUAUCGUUUUCUGUUAUGAGUGUUCCACAUCAUAACAUCCUGCAGUGUGCUGGGAGUUAAAGACUUAUGCCCCAGUUCUGUGGAUGGAACCCAUGGCCCAAAAUUUUGGCAGCUGAAAACCUCACAUAGAAGUUCUUAUUCAUAACUUAACAGGAAAUGCUCAAAGGAAGAGAUAAAUUUUUGGGAACUGGCAUAGGUUGGUUUGUUUAGCAGUGGGGGAUCAGUGAUUAGUUUAAGAAACAAUGUGUUAGUUUAGUAAGAGGAAUCCAUAAGUAAUAGUUACUAAGUUGUUCAUUUCAGCUUCAGUGGGUGAACAGUCCUGUUUUACUUCAGUUUUGCACUGGGGACACCAUAGAGUACUUCUAUCUUCUGCCUCAAAAAAUGCAAGGACAUUUUCCUGGAAAAAGACUGAAUGUGUAAGGCAAUGUACUGCAUAUAUAUAGUAGUACAUAUAGUCAUAACUGGUUCUAACCUGACUUCUGAGAGGCUGUUUCGUUGUCAAGUAGCCUGGUGCCAACUGUGAGGAGUACAGGAAUGCUGAUUUCAAAUACCUGAGUGGGAAUGGAGCUUGCUGGACCCCACGGCCACCCUGUAAGUAGGAGCUGCUGCAGAAGAAAGAAGGAGCAGCAUGUGGAAGUGUGUGAUGUGGGGCCUGAAAGAGAGAACUGGCAGUCUUAUAACAUUAGCUGUUGCUGUGUGGUGUUUCAAGAUAUUCUUGCCUUUUUUUAAUAACUCUUUCCAGCUCUGUACAGCCUUCUACCUUUUUCUUUAUUAAAUGUGUUUUAGUCUC
rnacentral:lncRNA from 7 species